rnacentral:lncRNA from 1 species
GGCAGAGCAAACAGACACCUAAGCCUCGGGUAAAUCAUUAAUUCAUUAAUAUUCUCACUGAUGGCAUCUGGAGAGACAGACGUAUUCCUUCUUUCUUCCAAGUCCUCAAAAGUGCUCUUUCAUCGCCAGGUAAACACUUGGACGACCACUUUGUGGAUAAUCAUUCCCUCCUGGGCUCACACUCCAGAGACCAUGAAGGGCUCCCUCCCGGAUUUUAAUGGAUCAAAGAAAAUGGUAAGCGAGGCACAAGUGCGCUUCGCGGUUUUUGGUUUUUGUUUUUUAAUUGAUGGCUGUGGUUUUUGUCGAGAAUGGAAAGUGCAUUAAGGAGAGUUUGACGUAAACGCAAAGCUCCCUGCACUUGACCGACGGGGCUGAGGGGAGGGAAGCCAGGCCCACAGCCUUCCCAGGGGUCAGGUCUCGCGCUGCAGGGCAGGGCGAGGAGGAGGUGGUGACCAGCGCCAGUUGCAGGUGCCGUUGGGUACAGCUGGCGUGUGUACAGAGGGGCAAGAGCCCAGCGUGGGCAAGGUGACGCCCAGCGGGGGUUGCUGCUGCGACAGGGGGGGCGUUCAGCUUCCUAUGCUCCGGGCUGCCCCAGUGAGUCAGCACUUUCUCCUCUGGCCACCACCAGCCCUGGGGGGACACGACAGAGGUCAGCAGUUAGUGAGAGGGGGGCAUCCCAACAGGCCUUCCCUUGCCGUCAGGCCCUCCUCAUGCAUCCAGGCCACCUUCACAGAGCCCUCCCUUCUCACCACCACCUCCCUCCCUCAGCUCUGAAGUGUGUCCGUGAUCACUGCAAGUGGCCCCCUCCUCUGAUGACAAGCCUGGAGUAGCACUGAGGACCGAGAGCUCUCUAGUGAUGGAAACACCCGGAGCUGUGUGACCUCUAACACCUGCUCAACCUCUCUGUGCCUGGUUUCCUCCUCCACGCAUUCACAGAACCUACCUUGAAGGGCUGCUGAGAGCACCACCUUGGUUUUGGGUGCACCGCUGGUAUUAAUAGCGACGGAAGCAGAGAGUGGUGGAGAGACUACAGUGUGGCGGCAACUCAUUCACCUUCUGUCCACUCCAGAUCUGGCACCUUCCAAGCCCCACAGAACCCUAGACAAGGCCUCUGGUCUCGUCUGGUCCACCUCUUCAUGUAGGCCCAGCAGGACAAAUCAUUUCCACCGGACCCCUCUCCUCCAGGGGAGCUUGCUCAGAGAUGUGGGACGCAGUGCAGUGCCAACCAGGGGGGAACAUAGUGAGUGUUUGUUGAUUGACUAAUUUCAGCCCUUCAGGAAGGCGCUCCUAUGAAGGGAGGUGGGUGAAACCAUGGCUGUGUGGCAGUGAAGCCAGAGGGAUGUGACAGCAGAAGCCACUGGACAGUCAGCUCUGACACAGGAGAAGGGGCAGGGAGCUUCCUGAAAGAGGGGGCUUUUGAGGUGGGUUUAAAGAAUGGAAGGAGGCCCAAGAAGCCCGGGGCAAACCCUUUGAGGUGUGGGGCUCUGAGGGUCAGGUCAGGGCUGCAGGACAGCGGCAGGAAAGAGCUGGAGGCUCCCUACCCUGCAGCUGGCCCUUGCGGGUCUGGCAGGCAGGUGGGCGAGGAGAAACCUCGAGAUCUGAUCCUGCGUCUCCGAGGAAAUCCCCAGAAGGGGGACCGUGGGUGGCCUGUGCGGCUAGCUGGGCACUUUGCAUUUGUAGCAGCCACACAGCUCUGAGGAGACGAGAACAUGGGGCCUACUUACUUGUGUGCACUCUCCGGGACUGAAAUAGGUGGGGGGGAAGCCACCAGAGGGCCGCCCACCCGCCCUUAGAGAGGCAGAGACAGCCCCCGGCAGCAUUCUGGGUUUCAGAGAGUCAGGCAGGACCCGGAACUGACAUCCUCUGGUGGCCUUCACCCCUCUCAGUCCUGCGCCUCCCUCAGCCACAUGCAGUGAACAGGCUGGAGCAGCACCAGGUGCCAGGGCCACCAGGAGGCACAAGGGACAAUGGCCCGGGGAUUCUGAUUCCUGUGGGAUGCUGUCCCCUAGAACAGGGUCAGCCAUGUGGCCUGUCCAUCCCUGGGCAAGGCAAAGGCCUGGAAGGCACAACUGGGCCACCCCCACUGCUUGCUCUGAGAGACGGCAAUGGCCAAGUGCAGAUCCUCAGGCCCGUCCCCCAGGGCUCCAACCGGAAGGGCCAGGGUGGGGCUCAGAGCUUCCGCCAACACUGCUGGGGCGGAGUUCUGGAGCAGGUGGUCUGCAGAUGCAGGGCCUUGGUCCAGGGUCAGUGCUGGAAGACAAGGCUGGGUGGGGCUGGGCCACCAUAUUUAGGGGUGGAGGUCACUUGACUGGGACAACGCAGGAACACAGGAGUUUGUGGUAUGGGCCUUGUGGCUGCCCCUCUCUGCUCUGCAAAGUCCAUCAUUGGGAAGAAUAGAGUCCCCCAUUCGCUGGGUGACUCCUAGGCCCUUCAGUGAACCCAGACCUGGCGCCUUCUCAAGCUGUAGACAUUUCAGAACUGUCACCCCUUCCUCCCAUCCCAGAAGGCCUUGAGGACCCAUGUGUGCGGAGGUGCCGUGACCCCCUCCCCUUGAGAUGCUUGUUGCUUUGGCUUAUGGUUUUAUUUAAGAUAGUCCAGUGUCCUCUUCAUAAAAGGAACAGAUUCCAAGCAGGGUUAUGAUUUUGAGCAGCAAACCCCCCUGCAUGGGAGACCUGUGUUUUCUCAGGCUCAUCCGCGUGCCCAUGGGGGUCUGAGAAAGUCCCUGGGUGUGUGCGUGACUCAGAGGCAGGUGGUCAGCGGAGGAAAUGACACCAGGCCUCUGCACGGGGUCUCCGCAUUCCAGUCCGUGUUCCCACGGUGCCCUGCGUCGUCAACAGCUCCCAAACAGGCCCUCUCCACGGGGAACCCGCCCUCCAGGACAGGCACGGGCUCGUUGCACGUCAGGAGGCUGAGCUCUAACUGACAAAUUGGAGAGGUUCCCCAAGGCAAGGGUUACUGAGCUCUGUCAUUCUCACUAAAAAUGUGAUUUAUAAUAUAUUCCUAUUUGCCAGACACUCCUUUCCCCAGGAAUGAACACUUAACACAGAAAUGGGAGGCUAUCCCAAGGCCUGAGCCCACAGGCGAACACACCCCUCCAAGUGUUCACUGCAAAUGAGCAGACGUGCCCAGGCCCCUGGGCAGCAUGGCUACGCACGCUUCAUUUCGAUAAGUCUCCGUAUCUUAAGCAAACACUUAAAAUUCAGGACAGGGCGAGGGUGGCCCAUGAUUGAUUUUUAGAAUUUCACAUUCUAAAGGAAAGAUCUAAGGGUCUGAUGAAGGAGGUCAUAUUGGAUCUCGGGGUGUAGCUCAGUGGGGCCUCCGGCUUAGCGUGCACAAGGCCCCGGGUUCCAUUCUCAGCAAAAAAAAAAAAAAAAAAGAAAAUGUAUUUCCUAACAUUCCUUAGAGUUUAUAAAAGGAAAACAGUUUUUCUUGCUCCUUCAAUCAUCUGAUAUUUCUGAAUGCGGCAUGGGUCAGAUAUUGAAGAGCAAGCUGCGCCUUCGGACGGGCUUCCUGAGACCCUUUGUAAAAAAAACACACAAAAGCAGCUAAAGCCGUCUGACUUCUCUUAGGAGUCUGGGUUAAAGUUGCAAACUCAUUUUGCCGGAGAUAACCAGAAAUCCUCUAAGCGGUCUAAGUGGGCAGGACCGGAUUUGAUCUCUGCAUCUGAUUGCCUAGCAGAAGUCAAGCAGCCAAUGUCUCAACAAUGUCUCCAUAUCAUGAAACUUCCUAAAAAUCUUCAAGGGAGUAACCUGAGCUCCUGAAAAAUGAUCUCGAAUGUCAACAGGACAAAGCUUCCCAGGCCUCCCUAUUUGACUCGACAGGAAUCUUGUUUCUCUGUGUGCUCUGGAGGGCUUCUGUCUUUGUUAAGAGGAAUGAUUAAAAGAAUCUACAUAUAGUAAUCAUUUAAAAUUGAGUUCACUCAAUAGGAGCUAUUCAUUUUACUGUUGUGUGUGUGUGUGUGUGUGUGUGUGUGUAGAUACCUGUUUUUCUAGGCAAUACACAGCUUUUAUUUCAUUGUGUGCAUAAACCCUGACCCAGG